UGGUUGAGCGAGGAGACGGCGACGAGGUUCCCCAGCAGCCCCCGGUCCUCUGAGGACACGAGUCCCACUGAACUGCCCAUGUGACCUCCCAGCUGGUGGACAGGAUGAGCGGGAAGCACAGUGAGCUGGAGGGUCGCCUCGACGACCUGCUGUCACGCAUCGCCAUGGAGACGCAGGAGAUCAAAGAGCUGGAGCAGCAGCUGACCAACGGUCAGAUUUUGGCGAAUGAGGCUCUGCAGAGAGAUUUGGAGGAGGUGAUCUGUGGACUUCAGGAAUAUCUCAGAGGACUCAGACAGCAGGUACAAACUGUCCUCUCAGUGCUGUAAAC